UACGAAGGGGGCUAGCGUUGCUCGGAAUCACUGGGCGUAAAGCGCACGUAGGCGGAUUGCUAAGUCAGGGGUGAAAUCCUGGAGCUCAACUCCAGAACUGCCUUUGAUACUGGCGAUCUCGAGUCCGGGAGAGGUGAGUGGAACUGCGAGUGUAGAGGUGAAAUUCGUAGAUAUUCGCAAGAACACCAGUGGCGAAGGCGGCUCACUGGCCCGAUACUGACGCUGAGGAGCGAAAGCGUGGGGAGCGAACAGG
rnacentral:rRNA from 1 species